CCACCAUAACUGCACCAGGAUCCAUUGCUUAUUUAAGCCUCCACCUUUCCUCUAGGGGCUUCACUUCGCCUGAGGGUCGACACCUUUCUUCUGACUGAGAGUUUAGCCACUCAGCCACUCCAUCGGUGCCCUUUUCAACUCCGAGCGCCCUUCGCACCAGUCUUUGCCAUCCCCGCCGGCUCCCCGCCAUCUUCAGUCCCCCGAGCCUUUCCGAGGGGU
rnacentral:lncRNA from 1 species